rnacentral:rRNA from 1 species
AUACGGAGGAUCCGAGCGUUAUCCGGAUUUAUUGGGUUUAAAGGGUGCGCAGGCGGGGGAUUAGGUCGGCGGUGAAAUAUCAGGGCUCAACCUUGAGAGUGCCGUCGAAACCGGUUUUCUUGAGUGCGGAUGAAGUAGGCGGAAUUUGUGGUGUAGCGGUGAAAUGCGUAGAUAUCACAAGGAACACCGAUUGCGGAGGCAGCUUACUAAACCGCAACUGACGCUCAUGCACGAAGGCGUGGGGAUCAAACAGGAUUAGAUACCCUGGUAGUCCACGCAGUAAACGAUGAUUACUGGCUGUUUGCGAUACAAUGUAAGCGGCUGAGCGAAAGCGUUAAGUAAUCCACCUGGGGAGUACGUUCGCAAGAAUGAA